GUCUUUAUGCAGGGGCAUUACGUGUAUCAGUGAGGAUUCGUCCGAGAUCAUGUUUUUGCUGGUUGAAAACUUAAACCUGACAACUUCUUGAAUGCUAUAGUAUUUUACUUGUGUGUUUAAGAGAAUUUUUGGAACAAUUUUUUUUCAUAAUC
rnacentral:snRNA from 15 species